AUUCGCGUCAUUUCUACCUGUUCCAUUCUGCACAUGCGCACUGCUUUCACAUCGCAUGGACUAUUAGGAAAUUAAAUCCGUGUAAAAUUAUUGUUCUUAAAGAGCAGCAGUAGCAACUGAUUAUGUUUUUUUAAUAGUUCAGCGUCAAAUUAUUAAAAACUUUAAAUUUAUCCUGUUGUAAGUGCGCAUGCGUGCGUAAAAUAGCCCAGAGAUUGUCUAUUGUCGUAAAUUGAAGAUGAAUCACUCCCAGCCAAUAAAAAAAAAUGCCUAGUCUGACUCAGCGGUUGUAGGCUGCAGGUAUGAGCCUGAAAUUGAACUUUCUCUUCCCCUUCCGUUUUCUUUGUUACCCUUUUUAAAAAGUCCCUUUUCCAACAACACCACCCUCUCGCUUGUAUAUGCAGGAUAAAUCACCACUUUACUACAUCUCUGAAUAGCACAGCGGCGUUUUUCAGACAUAAACAUGAACAAGAAUAAAAUCAAAUUAAAAAGAACUUCUGCCUCAUACAGCUUUGUUUAAUCAUCAAUAUCAGGACUGGUCUCACACUUAGCUUAUAUAUCAAAUUUGAUUUUAGUGCAGGACCAAAACAGACGUGUGAUAUUUAUACAUGGGUAUAUUUGUCAGAAUUACUUUGUCACUGUUCCCUCUAAACUGCGCGCGUGAGCAACUGCGCACUGCUGACACGGUCUCCGCGCACAGAAAAUCUGCGCUGCGCACAAAAAAAAAAUCCAACCUAAAUUGUAAAUAAAAUAAACACGUAACAAUUCAUUCUGUGCUAUUUUUCAAUGUGAGGCAGUGAGUGACCGGUGACUGGCUGCUGCAGCCAAUGAUGCGAUUCACAUACGCAGAGAUGGGAACUUGGACUUAGACUCGACUCGGACUCGAGUCCCGAUUUUAUGACUUUUUGACUCGACUUGAUGAAAUCAAAAAAAGACUUGGACUUGCUUGGACUCUAAGCUCAGUGACUCUAGACUUGGACUUGACUCGACCCCUUUGACUCGACGAGUCAUGUCGAGUCAUAAUGGUGUAAUUUUUUUCAAUUAAAAGUGUGAUGUAUGAAUCAUUUUUAUUCGUAUCGCUUCACUUCAUCGGAUUACAGGACACCCGCUGUCAGUCACGGGGAGGUUUAUUGCUGUUACACACUGCGACACACCCCCAUUCAGUUGGAAGAACUGAAUGCGGCCUCAGCACGAGUCAACCGAGAAUUAUUUCCUUUGCUUACAAAAAUUACAAAGUGGUUAACAAAAAACAGAUUGCUGAAUGCAGGUUUUGCGAUUCGAAGAUCACGGACGGUCAUGAAACUACUUCCAACUUCAACCGGCACUUGAAGAAACACAAAGAUAAAACUGGUCCUGUGAGAUGCAGUGGAGGCUGACCAACCUGUGUCUCAUGAGGAGGGAGAUGAAUACCUUGAAGAAGAAGGUCUGUUUGCUGCAUACUGUAAGAGACAGAGGAAGGAUGCUAACACCACUCCAGCAUUACAGCUAAGUCACUAUCUCAACUUGUGUGAAGGACAGAGUGUGUUGUCAUUCUGGGCAAUGCACAUGAAGGCUCUUCCUUCACUAUUUCGAGUUGCCAUCAGGGUCUUAGCAGUUCCUGCUACCAGUGCUCCGGUUGAGCGAGUUUUCAGCCAUGGUGGUAUCAUAAUGUGGCCCCAUCGUGCACAAAUGACUGACAGACUUUUGGCCAAUUUGAUCUUUUGCAAAUGCAAUGCUAGUCUGUAGGUGAAUGAAACAUUGAUGUGUAUGCCACCACCACAAACAUUCACACAAUCCAACAGCUAUCAUGGCUCUCUCUCACACAAAUACAUGCAUGCACACACAGAUGCUAUAAUAGCCAGGCUGGCUGUGACAGUCUCAUAUUAGUUCUUCUCUUUCUCUCUCUCACACACAUAACUAAAAAUGCAACAAGUCAACUGCACAUGACAUUUUAAUGUCAGUUCUCUUACACACACACAAACACAGAGGACUUACUUAAGAGCUCUGUGUACCAGAUUAGAACCUAGUCAUUGAUUUAACAUGACAUCACUUUUGGCCUCAAAUUGAUCACAUUCUUUCUGCUGUGUAUUGUUAAAAACAUGUAAGACAACCACUUUAGGAGAACUUUACUUAUAUAUGUACUUAUAUAAUAAAAUAUGGCUUUUCUUGUAUCAAUUAAUCACCCCUGAACACAUCGAGGGCUGUGAGUAAUUGAAAGAAGAAAAGUCAUUUUUAAGGUUAAGUACUGAGGAAUGUUUACAAGGCACACUGAGCUGUAUUUCAAAACUCAAAUCUUGUGUUCAACAGUACAGGGGCAUAUUGCUCAUUCUGAUUUAUGUUGCAAAGUGCCAACUACCUCUUAUGUUCUGAAAGAAUUAUUAGCACUUUUUUGUUUAUCCUUAAAGGACGUUUUUGGUAUUGGCUUCCUGCUGUGCAUACAUUCUACUGUUAAAGUUUACUGUUAAAGGAUCACUUCCCAUUUAAAAUGAAUUUUGUUUUAUCAGUUACUCUCCCCACGAUCAGUUGGACACAAGGAGAAUUUUUGUUUUUGUCACAUUCCUUUAAGGUGAUUCAGGAAAUUCAGAAUGAAUGCAAGUGACAGGGCCUGAUUUUACCCAACGAGAGAGCAGAUCUCAUUCCCUUCCAUCAAUUCCAUUCAUUCUGGAUUUCUUGAAUCACUGAAAACUAAAAUUGUUCUUGUAUUCAACUCACCAUGGGGAGAGUAACUGGUAGAACAAGUCAUUUUCAAGGUAAAGUGGUCCUUUAAAGUUUAAGUUUUACAUUAAAAAAAACAUUACAUUAGAAUUUUUUCAGGUAACCCUGUAUAAAUAAGCUCAAAGACUGUUAUAGCCAACAGAGAAAGUUGUGUGCUGGGCUCUAUUUUUGUGCAGUAUUUUUGUUAAAAUUCAGUGGCACCUUUGGGGGGAAAAAGCCUUGAAAGAAAUAAACAUUUUGAAACUUUAUCCAUAUAUCAUUUUUAUUAUUUAUUAAAGUUCAAGUUAAUGGUUUUCUAUUGUCUCUUGCACAAAAUGACACAACAGAACAGGGACUCUGGAUCCUUUAAGUAUUAAAUCUUCAUUUUAUUUUAUGUAAUUCAAGGUGUGAAAGUGUCUUCAAAUGUCUGGAAGUGUAGGAGUAGGGGGUUACAUUUGUUUCACUUGGUUGUGUUUGACAGACAGAUAUUGUGAAAAUUCCCAAUCUACAAGCUCACAUCUCACAAAGAGUGUAUUGAUAUCUCAGCCAAAAAUUUCCUUAUUGGCACCUCCCCAGCUAUUUAUUUUUUUUAAUGACUUGUUUAGGACUCGAGGAAAAAAGUUUAGGACUUGGACUCGACUCGGGACUCGACUGUCUUGACUUGGGACUCGACUCAGGACUCGACUGUCUUGACACAGGACUCGACUCAGGACUCGACUGUCUUGACAUGGGACUCGACUCAGGACUCGAGUGCAAAGACUUGAGACUCGACUUUGACUUGCAAAAAAAGGCCUUGGUCCCACCUCUGCACAUACGUAUUUACCAUAGACUGUAUAUAAUGGUAUUUAUGCAGCUAAUCAAUGUCAGGCGUCCUUAUGUGCAGCCACCGUUGUUCUCGUAGAUAUGAAUGAGUAGAUAGGACACGCCCCUUUGAGCUGUGUGCUACGGCGAGGCUAAGCUAGUGGGGGCAAAGUUUCAGUACAUUCCGUUGAUGUAGACAGCGUGAAAACGGAAACAGCAAGUAUACCGGUUCACUGUGCUGCAUACAGUUACACACUGCGUCGUACGAUUGAGACAAGGAAACUUGGAAUGACUUUUCAUAGGUAAGAAUAGUUUUUGGCUCUUUUUUCAUUAUGAAAUCUUGUUGAGAGCUUCCAGUCUAUGAGAGCUAACUAGUUAGCCACUAGCAAAACGCUAAGGCGAGCUAGCAGCUUGACAACCAAAUACCAGACGAUUAAUAGUAGCUGUAGUAUAGUUGUACAAGCAGUAGUAGUAAUACUAAAAGUACAAGCAGCAGUAGUAGUAUAAACAGCUGAGUCAUAGAAGUAGUAUCAGCAUUUGUAAUAGUAUUACAAGUUGUAGUAGCAGUGCCAGUAUCAGCAGCAGUAGUGUCCUACCACUACUACUAGUAGUAGUCACAUUGCUAUGACUACCACCAAUACUACCAAUAGUAGUUAUAAAGACUAACUCAUAUAUAUCCAGAUUACCAUCUAUGUUCUUCCUCCAAACCCAUUUUAUGAUUGGGAUUACAGGCAGUUCUUUAGGACUGCUCUCAAAUAAUUGAAAUGUUACUAAACAAGGUUAUACUUAUCAAAUUAAAUAGCUCUGGUCUCCAGUAUGUUGGCGAAUUCGGUUCUUUGUACUUAAUUUAUUAGCAUGAUUUCUUUUUAGUAUGUUGUGUACAGACUUAAUUACUUCUCUGUCUACUUUUCUUACUCCAUGUAGGUUUCCCAGACACUAUGGGUUGAGGAGGAAUUGGAAGUUUGUCGGCUUAGACCUGGUGUCAUUCCAUCAGUGUUAAACUUCCCGGCUCAUCUUGGAAGAGUAUGUGCCAGAAAGACCACGACCAAGCAGCCUUGAGAUCUUAGGCAGCGUCUCCCUGAGGUGGGUGUCGACAGUGUUCACGGUCAGACAUCCACCAACCACUGGAACACAUCUCCAAAGUUCUGCUGGACCAGCUCAGCUUCCCCUCAGAAGAAGUUCCACCACCUGCCAGAUGAAGGAGCCUUUUGAGAGGCAGCUGGCAUCGUGAUUGGACUGUGCUUUGGUCUGUUCCAAUCCAGCUUCAGCUCCAGAGACGGCAGACGGGACGAGUCAACGGAGGCCUGGUGGACGAAGGCAUGCAGCUGAGUACAAUCCAGAAAACAACAGAGGAGGAGUGCAGGACCAGAACAAACAGAUUAACAUCCUAUGCCUCUUAGAAAACAUCAUAGUAGAGCCUUGGUAUGAAAAAAACGCCAUCAUAUACAUCGUAUAUUGUACAAAUAACAAGUCAAAGCAAAGAGACAUACAUUGUCGAAUUGUAGUAAUUGUGGGCUGACUGAUUUACUGAUUAUCAGUAUUUUAUUUUUUACUGAUUUAUGGUAAUAAAUACAUUUAAAAAUGGCGCUACUUUGGCUCUGAACCUUUAUCUACCUGUGGUCGCUCUGUCUUCUGGAGUGAUUUGAUUGGUUAUACGUCACAAAUAAAACUCCUUUAACUUAACAUCUGUAAACAAAACAAAAACGUAUCAACAAAGUUUUCUGUUAGAGUUUGUGUUCUUCUAAGUUUAACUCCAAGAUUUUAAAUACUUUCAUUUACUGCAAAUGAAUAUCGACUCCAAAUGUCUCACUAAUAAUCAUUAUCAGCCUUAAAAACCCACAAAACACCCCUCUAUACUCAACCACACUUAGUACAGUCCGGUUCCCCCUUCUAUAAAUCUGCUUGGAAUCUUCCACUUCCUGUUUGUCAAAGUGGCCUUCUACCUGGACAGGUUUUGUUGGAGCUCAUGCAACAAACAUUUUGGGUAACUGCACUUUAAUAUGGAUGGAUGACACUGAAUUAGAGUCUGUUUUAAUGAGACUGAGUUAAGAUAUGUAGCUCUGUCAUUAAAUAGUAAAUUAUUUCUCAGAAUUCACAGAGAAAAGUCUGAAAUGUUUGCUAGGUUAGCGUCCCACAUGUUCUUUGGCUCAGCUAAAGCUAACUUUCUCCAACUUCUGGAUCUCUUGAGUUGCUUGUUGUUAAAAUAUCUUGCUAGAGGUGCUGAAGCUCAGAAAGUCAGAUGUUUGUUCAAAAUAAGCUCAUUCUCAAGUCUGAUCUGAACUGUCCUCUUUUGUUUGAACUUUCCCUAAACUUAGGAGUUAAUGACAGAGCAGCACAUCCAGACUCAGUUUCAUUUAUGUAGCGAUUAAACUUCAGUGUAAUUCAUUGAUGUUGAAGUGCAGUUUUUCAAAUGUUUGUUGCACAUGCUCCUGACCAAACCAGUCCAGGUGGAAGAUGAUGUGAAGAAAAAGCUCCAGAGGAUGAAUAUCACACAUUUACGUUGGAAAUUAAUGUCCUUUGAUUAGACAUUGUCAUGCAAAAGUUGGAUUUCCCUUUAAUGAUGUUGAAAUCUUUGAGUGUUUUGUUGAUGUUGGUUUCUAAAUGUUUUCUGACACUCGGCCCCAAAAAUUAAAACCUUCUACGACUCACAAGCUGCAACAAUUCACACAUUAUCAACUAUCUUUCUGACAAAACUAAGAUAAAAAGUGAAAAACUGCCUGAUUCCUGCAUCAUGAAUGUAAAUCUUUUUGGUUUUUAUGACAGUAAACUGAAUAUAUUUGGGUUUGACAUUUUAUAAACCACAACAAGAAAUGAAUUACUGGAGAAAACAAUCAACAGAUUAAUGGAAAAAGAAAAUGUGUUUUCCAACAUAUAUGGCUGAAUUACUCCAACAUUACAAGAUACAUACAAUUUUAAUUCAAUUUUAUUUAUAUAACGCCAAUUACAGGUCAAAUUGUUUCAAGACACUUUGUUUUUAUAUUUUUUGUCACAAAUAGAGUUUAACAUUAAAUACAAUUAAAUUAUAUUAAACAGACAAAAUAUUGAAUUAGAUAAUUCAACAAGGUACAACACAUGUCAUUAUGAAAUUAAACAAAAUUGUAAAAAUACAAAUAUUAAAAAUUACAGAUAAAAUAUUUUCG